rnacentral:rRNA from 1 species
GGUGUGACUGCGUACCUUUUGUAUAAUGGGUCAGCGACUUAUAUUCUGUAGCAAGGUUAACCGUAUAGGGGAGCCGCAGGGAAACCGAGUCUUAACUGGGCGUUAAGUUGCAGGGUAUAGACCCGAAACCCGGUGAUCUAGCCAUGGGCAGGUUGAAGGUUGGGUAACACUAACUGGAGGACCGAACCGACUAAUGUUGAAAAAUUAGCGGAUGACUUGUGGCUGGGGGUGAAAGGCCAAUCAAACCGGGAGAUAGCUGGUUCUCCCCGAAAGCUAUUUAGGUAGCGCCUCGUGAAUUCAUCUUCGGGGGUAGAGCACUGUUUCGGCUAGGGGGUCAUCCCGACUUACCAACCCGAUGCAAACUACGAAUACCGAAGAAUGUUAUCACGGGAGACACACGGCGGGUGCUAACGUCCGUCGUGAAGAGGGAAACAACCCAGACCGCCAGCUAAGGUCCCAAAGUCAUGGUUAAGUGGGAAACGAUGUGGGAAGGCACAGACAGCCAGGAUGUUGGCUUAGAAGCAGCCAUCAUUUAAAGAAAGCGUAAUAGCUCACUGGUCGAGUCGGCCUGCGCGGAAGAUGUAACGGGGCUAAACCAUGCACCGAAGCUGCGGCAGCGACACUAUGUGUUGUUGGGUAGGGGAGCGUUCUGUAAGCCUGCGAAGGUGGCCUGUGAGGGUUGCUGGAGGUAUCAGAAGUGCGAAUGCUGACAUAAGUAACGAUAAAGCGGGUGAAAAGCCCGCUCGCCGGAAGACCAAGGGUUCCUGUCCAACGUUAAUCGGGGCAGGGUGAGUCGACCCCUAAGGCGAGGCCGAAAGGCGUAGUCGAUGGGAAACAGGUUAAUAUUCCUGUACUUGGUGUUACUGCGAAGGGGGGACGGAGAAGGCUAUGUUAGCCGGGCGACGGUUGUCCCGGUUUAAGCAUGUAGGCUGGUUAUCCAGGCAAAUCCGGAUAAUCAAGGCUGAGGUGUGAUGACGAGGCACUACGGUGCUGAAGUAACAAAUGCCCUGCUUCCAGGAAAAGCCUCUAAGCAUCAGGUAACACGAAAUCGUACCCCAAACCGACACAGGUGGUCAGGUAGAGAAUACCAAGGCGCUUGAGAGAACUCGGGUGAAGGAACUAGGCAAAAUGGUGCCGUAACUUCGGGAGAAGGCACGCUGGUGUGUAGGUGAAGUCCCUGCGGAUGGAGCUGAGACCAGUCGAAGAUACCAGCUGGCUGCAACUGUUUAUUAAAAACACAGCACUGUGCAAACACGAAAGUGGACGUAUACGGUGUGACGCCUGCCCGGUGCCGGAAGGUUAAUUGAUGGGGUUAUCCGUAAGGAGAAGCUCUUGAUCGAAGCCCCGGUAAACGGCGGCCGUAACUAUAACGGUCCUAAGGUAGCGAAAUUCCUUGUCGGGUAAGUUCCGACCUGCACGAAUGGCGUAAUGAUGGCCAGGCUGUCUCCACCCGAGACUCAGUGAAAUUGAACUCGCUGUGAAGAUGCAGUGUACCCGCGGCAAGACGGAAAGACCCCGUGAACCUUUACUAUAGCUUGACACUGAACAUUGAGCCUUGAUGUGUAGGAUAGGUGGGAGGCUUUGAAGCGUGGACGCCAGUCUGCGUGGAGCCAACCUUGAAAUACCACCCUUUAAUGUUUGAUGUUCUAACGUUGGCCCCUGACCGGGGUUGCGGACAGUGUCUGGUGGGUAGUUUGACUGGGGCGGUCUCCUCCCAAAGCGUAACGGAGGAGCACGAAGGUUAGCUAAUCCUGGUCGGACAUCAGGAGGUUAGUGCAAUGGCAUAAGCUAGCUUGACUGCGAGCGUGACGGCGCGAGCAGGUGCGAAAGCAGGUCAUAGUGAUCCGGUGGUUCUGAAUGGAAGGGCCAUCGCUCAACGGAUAAAAGGUACUCCGGGGAUAACAGGCUGAUACCGCCCAAGAGUUCAUAUCGACGGCGGUGUUUGGCACCUCGAUGUCGGCUCAUCACAUCCUGGGGCUGAAGUAGGUCCCAAGGGUAUGGCUGUUCGCCAUUUAAAGUGGUACGCGAGCUGGGUUUAGAACGUCGUGAGACAGUUCGGUCCCUAUCUGCCGUGGGCGCUGGAGAAUUGAGGGGGGCUGCUCCUAGUACGAGAGGACCGGAGUGGACGCAUCACUGGUGUUCGGGUUGUCAUGCCAAUGGCACUGCCCGGUAGCUAAAUGCGGAAGAGAUAAGUGCUGAAAGCAUCUAAGCACGAAACUUGCCCCGAGAUGAGUUCUCCCUGAGACUUUAAGUCUCCUGAAGGAACGUU